UACGUGAGGGGCUAGCGUUGUCCGGAAUCAUUGGGCGUAAAGCGCGUGUAGGCGGCCCGGUAAGUCCGCUGUGAAAGUCGGGGGCUCAACCCUCGAAAGCCGGUGGAUACUGUCGGGCUAGAGUACGGAAGAGGCGAGUGGAAUUCCUGGUGUAGCGGUGAAAUGCGCAGAUAUCAGGAAGAACACCGAUGGCGAAGGCAGUUCUCUGGGACGGUACUGACGCCUGAGACGCGAAAGCGUGGGGAGCAAACAGG
rnacentral:rRNA from 1 species